rnacentral:rRNA from 1 species
CACGUAGGGCGCAAGCGUUGUCCGGAAUUAUUGGGCGUAAAGAGCUCGUAGGUGGUCUGUUGCGUCCGCUGUGAAAACUCGGGGCUUAACCCCGAGCCUGCAGUGGAUACGGGCAGACUAGAGGUAGGUAGGGGAGAAUGGAAUUCCCGGUGUAGCGGUGAAAUGCGCAGAUAUCGGGAAGAACACCCGUGGCGAAGGCGGCUCUCUGGGACGGUACUGACGCUGAGACGCGAAAGCGUGGGGAGCGAACAGG